rnacentral:piRNA from 1 species
UAGAAAAGGAAAUGCUGUCUAGUAAUGGA